rnacentral:rRNA from 1 species
GACGAACGCUGGCGGCGUGCUUAACACAUGCAAGUCGAACGAAAAGACGCUGCUUUUGUUGGUUGCUCGAUUGGCGAGCAGGGGAGUAACACGUGAGUAACCUGCCCUUAACAGUGUGGUAACUUCAGGAAACUCCGGCUAAUACCGGAUAUGAUCUCCUGCUGCGUGUGGUGGGUUGGAAAGUUUCGGCGGUGGGGGAUGGACUCGCGGCUUAUCAGCUUGUUGGUGGGGUAGUGGCGUACCAAGGCUUUGACGGGUAGCCGGCCUGAGAGGGUGACCGGCCACAUUGGGACUGCGAUACGGACCAGAAUCCUACGGGCGGCAGCAGUGGGGAAUAUUGCACAACGGGCGGAAGUCUGAUGUAGCAAUGUCGGGUGCGGGAUGCCGGCCUUCGGGUUGUAAACCGCUUUCGCAUGUGCCGAAGAGUGAGUGACGGUAAUGGGUCAAGAAGCACCGGCUAACUACGUG